rnacentral:rRNA from 1 species
UCCGUAGGUGAACCUGCGGAAGGAUCAUUACCGAGUUUUUUUCUUCGGAAAAUACCUCCCACCCUUGUGUAUCUUACAUGCUGAUAAGCAGCUUCGGCGGGCCGUUCCCUGUGGCGUCACUCUGUCAUGGAGUGGAGGCCGGGGAACAUCGGCCUAACCAGCGGAUAUGCGCCUGCCGAAGGACCCCAACUCUCUGAUAAUUUGAAGUCUGAAUAAAAACUUGAUAAUAAAUCAAAACUUUCAACAACGGAUCUCUUGGUUCUGGCAUCGAUGAAGAACGCAGCGAAAUGCGAUAAGUAAUGUGAAUUGCAGAAUUCAGCGAAUCAUCGAAUCUUUGAACGCACAUUGCGCCUCCGGGUAUUCCUGGAGGCAUGCUUGUUCGAGCGUCGUUAAAGACCAUGAGGCUUUGCCUUGCGAUGAGCCGCCGAUCGACAGAUCGGUGGCUUCAAACCGAUUGGCGUCUGAAGUUUAGCCCAAGCACAGCAAAAUGUGUCUGCAAGCCUAACUGAAGGAUUGCCUAUCCAUUCAUACAAAGGUCGACCUCGGAUCAAGCAAGACUACCCGCUGAACUUAAGCAUAUCAAUAAGGGGGGGAGGGGAAGGUCCGGACCU